ensembl:ncRNA Y53C10A.16 ncRNA
AAAAAAAAAUAAUCUUCCGUUGCGGGGAAUCGAACCCCGGCCUUAUGGGUGAGAGCCAUAAAUCCUAACCACUAGACCACAACGGAGCGUGGGAAAGUGG